UCAUCGCACCCAUCCUGAUAAGCCGGCCCCCCGUCCUAGGGGUAGACCGCGGCGGAGACAUCGGCCUCCAGGAGGCGGCCGUCAGGGGGGGGGGAAUGUCACGCCCCUGAGGGGCGGAAACCCGCAAGUGACGCCGAUUAACGCUAAUCAGAUCGCAGGAUAAAAGAACCUAAGGAACAGAAGAACAUCGCGAAGUAUUGAGCCGAUGAUUACCAGCCAUACCAAGCAAUUUACUUGUCUGCCGUCUACCCUACCCUCCCGGAUCUGCCUGUCUUACCUUUGUCUGUGCCUCACCUGUCUGCCUUCCCUCCUCAGUGUCCUCGUCAUACCUGAUCCUCCAGUUCCGACGUCCUCCGCCUUCCUCGUCAUCGUUCCCCUUCGUGCCUGUGCUUCAGUGUUGGACAGCUCUUCCUGGUACCGACCAUCGCCCACGUCUACCGAUUACGAUUCUCGCCUGCCGAUUCCAAGUUCCGUCUACCUUUCCCCUCCCCUGAGCACCGCCUCGGGAUCCACUGCCCCGCACCACCGGUUCCGGUCGGUGACCGCCUCGGCAUUGCCGCUGUUCUCUCAAUAAACCGGUCGUUUCCCUGCAUUCCUGGAUCCUUGUCCGUCUGUUCCACUCUCUGCCUGACACUAUGCAUUAAUUUAUGCAGAAAAAUCGAAAGUAAAAGUUCUGAGCAUUCUUCAUUCAGUCGCCAUUUUGCGGUGGGGACGCAGGAAAGAAAUCUUCACUAUCAGUGUCACUUCAUACAGAGGAAACGCGGAGCUUCACACAGUAACGCAGCCUAAGACUGAACUGUUCAGACAGAGGUGUGGAGAAGCAGCAGCGACACACAUUCAGAGAGAAGGAGGGUGUUAGGAAUGGCUGAGACGCCAGAGGCUUCAGAAACCAUAGGAGGCCAUGGAGCUCCAAAAGGUACAAACAUUCUAUUCUCUCACAGAAGUGCAAAAAUACAAAGUAUUAACAAAAAAAAAGAAAAGAAUCACCUAAAACAGGCUGUAUCUUGGCAGACCCUGCAUCCAUAACAACCUCUCCCUUUAGCACACUCCUCAGGGCUUA